CCCCUCUCUCAAUGAAUCGGGUUCGCAAACGUUCUGAAUCAGUUCGCGAUUCAGUUUGAAUCAUUUGGACUGCUUACUCACGCAUUGGAUUGUUUGGAGCUGUUUCUCAUUGGGCAGUAGAAAGUUAAAAGCGUUACAAAACGCGUUUUACUUAUUAACAGAGAGCACGAAUAAGACCGCAAGAUAAACUGGAUAUUUACUUACAUCGAAACCACCAAACCCGAAAAUGCAUCUUGUCCUGAAAGCGGUGUUUUUUAUGAGUUCAUAGCCUGCGCUUGAAGCUUGUGAACGACUUCCAGGUGCCAUAGCAGGAGGUUUGUACAGAGAAAGGGGUUCUGGGUGAUGUUACAGCACAGCUUUGUGCCUAACAUGAGCCUCUCUCAUCUGCGUCCUGAGCUUUCAUUCAUAGGCUGGACACAUGUGGGAUAUGAUCAUGUGGUGAGCUCAACAGACAUCCCUCUAUCCUCUCUCUGCUCAACUCUCUUCUCACUGAUGGUAUUCAUUCAGAGGUCACAUUGAUUCAAACUGUCUGGAUACUGUAAUCCUGUUUUAUAUGCUCUGGGAACGCCGGGCCGGGAACUGUCCUUGCACAGACAUUUGUCAUCUAGGACUGUCAAUGUUAAUAUGUUUACUUAUGAGAUUCAUUCAUGUUUAAUGGUGUUACAUUUGUUUAUUCUGUUCAGUGGGAUUUCUGUUAAAACAAACUGCAUUUUCUUUCACGUUAGUCUGUCUACCAGUCAAUUAUUAAAAAAAAAAAAAAAAAAAUACUUGAUGGGUAAUUUGUUUUAUUAAAUUAACCUAAAUUGGAUUUAAAAUCAUUAGCAUUCUUCUUGGG
ensembl:lncRNA